rnacentral:sRNA from 1 species
UUAAGCCAUGCAUGUCUCAGUGCAAG